GCGCCGAGGGCUUUAAUGUCCGUCACUCCAAAUCUUUGUUGUGAUGAGACAAAGAACCGAGGAACAUACACUCGCAUGACAGAGACAACAGCCAAUCCCAUCAUGAGAUCAGCAGUGAGAUGACCCCACAAACUGGAUGGAAUAGAGGGAACCCCCACCACCCCACCCCUCCCAGUGGCUGCAGGAAAUCUCCAAGAUGUAUCUCAUCAUGGAACUUGGGCCUGCAAAACACCAAGCAGCUUUCAGCGUGGAGUCUGCCAAUCCACUUUGAGAGUGUGUAUGUGUGUAUGCAACUGCUUGCUCCUUCCUCUCCCAGGACCCCUCCCGGAAGUCAGAGCCUGUGGACAAUGGGGUCUUCAGUGUUUGCUGAAGACAGAUCAAAGCCAUGGAAUUCAGUUUAUAGUGUAUAAUGGAUGAGGCAGACAGGUGCCCUGAAAGAAGAAAAUAUUUUGUGUUUUGAAAUAGUUUCGAAGUGUUGGAUUUAUUUUUAUUUUGUUUUCAUUGGUUUAUUUUUAAAAGCCAAAUCAUGAGUCUAUAUGGAAAAUGUGUGUGGUUUAAAAAACACUUCCUGAAAGAAAUCAGCAAUAGGGACUUUCAGUUUUCAUUUUCAUGUCAAGUUCAACACAGUAAACAUGUUCUAUUGAAGCGAAGAUGCACAUAGAGCUUUCUUCCCACAAUUACGUCCCUUUAGGACAGCCUGGCUCAGCGUUAAGGAAUCUGCCGGGAGAUGUGGGCUCGAUCCUUAGGUUGGGAAGGUCCCCUGGAGAAGGAAAAGGCAACCCACUCCAGUAUUAUUGCCUG
ensembl:lncRNA